GGGGAUGGAGCUCAGAGGUAGAGUGCUUGCCUAGCAUGUGUGAGACUCUGGGUUCAAUCCCCAGCACCA
rnacentral:tRNA from 1 species